rnacentral:rRNA from 1 species
CCUACGGGGCGCAGCAGUGGGGAAUAUUGGACAAUGGGCGAAAGCCUGAUCCAGCCAUGCCGCGUGUGUGAAGAAGGCCUUCGGGUUGUAAAGCACUUUCAGUGGGGAAGAAAGCCUUGGGGCUAAUACCCUCGAGGAAGGACAUCACCCACAGAAGAAGCACCGGCUAACUCCGUGCCAGCAGCCGCGGUAAUACGGAGGGUGCGAGCGUUAAUCGGAAUUACUGGGCGUAAAGCGCGCGUAGGCGGUCUGAUAAGCCGGUUGUGAAAGCCCCGGGCUCAACCUGGGAACGGCAUCCGGAACUGUCAGGCUAGAGUGCAGGAGAGGAAGGUAGAAUUCCCGGUGUAGCGGUGAAAUGCGUAGAGAUCGGGAGGAAUACCAGUGGCGAAGGCGACCUUCUGGACUGACACUGACGCUGAGGUGCGAAAGCGUGGGUAGCAAACAGGAUUAGAUACCCUAGUAGU